AUCCUCUGUCCCCCUCUGUCUCUGCCCCUCCCCUGCUUGUGUUUUCUCUCUGUAUCUCUCUCAAAAGUAAACAAACUUAAAAAAAAUUUUUUUUAAAUAAAAAUAGAACCAAGCCUCACAGAGCUGUGGAGAGUGUAUAGUGAGUUAAUGACAUAGGUAACCCUAGAACUAAUUCAUCUCUCAUUCAUUCAUUCAUUCAUCCAUUCGUUCGCUGGCACAGAAGAGCUCAUUCAGAGGGAGAAGGAUGCUGCGGAUACGGAUGGUGGGAGUACCAGUCUGCCCUGGCCGCCAUAACAAGGUACCACACACUGAGUGGCUUAAACAACAGAAAUGUAUUUUCUCACAGUGCUGGAGGCUGGAGGUCCAAGGUCAUGAUGUCAGCAGGGUUGGCUUCUGCGGGCCACGAGGGAAGGCUCUGUUCCCGGCGUUCCUCGUGGAUGGCCCUCUUCUCCCCGUGUCUUCAUGUGGCCUUCCCUCUGUGGUGGUCUGCAUCCCAGUUUCCUCUUAUAAGGACAUCAGUCACACCAGGUGAAGCAGAUCAUGGAAGAGGCAGCCACACGGAAGUUCGUCCACGAGGACAACAGCCACAUCAUCUCCUUCUGUGGUAUUUUUGGAUCCCCGGGGGGGCUCUGUGAGGGAAUUUGGAACCACGGAGAAGUCGAGAGAAGAAAGGAAGAAUGGCCUGUGUACCCAGCAAGAGCUAGUCACUGCUGACGCUGGAGGGACUGUCUUCCCCUCCUGUGGGCUCAGUUCACGGCUACCCAUCCCCCUAGUGAUGUUGGUCGUGCAUCUGACGACAGACUCUGCACCCUUUCCUCACCCUGCUGUGGCUGUUGCCAAAUGAAGGGGGAGGAUGGAUGGGCUUUAAAAACAUAGGGAAUUGGGAGCCAUUGAUCCAUCCUAAAGGAUCAUGUCCAGCGGGCUCAGCAGAGGAGGCAGGCCUAGGGCUCAGAGCUUGACUUGUAUCCUUGAACCAGCUGUGCUCACAAGAUUCCAGAAAUAACCGUGCUGCCAGGUUCUUACUGUCCUUCCACAAUGGCUACAGACACAUGUUUUACGUGUCCCCACAGUCAGGGUUCAGCUUCUAAUCCAUGUGUAUGUAUAAGCAGGGAUGUUUCUUUCUGCCUGAAAACCUUUUCAUUCCAUGACUGGAGUGUCUCGCAAUGGAGGACGUGCUGUA